rnacentral:rRNA from 1 species
GACGAACGCUGGCGGCGUGCCUAAUACAUGCAAGUCGAGCGGACGGAUGGGAGCUUGCUCCCAGACCGUCAGCGGCGGACGGGUGAGUAACACGUGGGCAACCUGCCUGUAAGGCUGGGAUAACUCCGGGAAACCGGGGCUAAUACCGGAUAACUCUUUCCCUCACAUGAGGGAAAGCUGAAAGAUGGCAUCUCGCUAUCACUUACAGAUGGGCCCGCGGCGCAUUAGCUAGUUGGUGAGGUAACGGCUCACCAAGGCGACGAUGCGUAGCCGACCUGAGAGGGUGAUCGGCCACACUGGGACUGAGACACGGCCCAGACUCCUACGGGAGGCAGCAGUAGGGAAUCUUCCGCAAUGGACGAAAGUCUGACGGAGCAACGCCGCGUGAGUGAUGAAGGUUUUCGGAUCGUAAAACUCUGUUGUCAGGGAAGAACAAGUACCGGAGUAACUGCCGGUACCUUGACGGUACCUGACCAGAAAGCCACGGCUAACUACGUG